rnacentral:snRNA from 1 species
GUGCUUUCUUCAGCAGCAUACAUACUAAAAUUGGAACAAUAUAGAGAUUAGCAUGACCCCUACACAAGGAUAACAUGCAAAUUCUCGAAGCAUUCCAUGUUUUU